rnacentral:rRNA from 1 species
UACGAAAGGAGCAGGUGUUAUUCAGAUUAACUGGGCGUAAAGGGCACGUAGGUGGUUUGUUAUGUGUACUAUAAAAUUAUAAAGCAUAACUUUAUAUCGUAGUAUAGACAAUUAAACUAGAGUUAGGUAGAGGGUAGUAGAAUUUCUAAUGUAAAGGUGAAAUUUGAUAAAUUUAGAGAGAAUACCAAUGGCGUAGGCAACUACCUAGGCCUUAACUGACACUGAGGUGCGAAGGUAUGGGGAGCAAAUAGG